UCUCAUUUCUCUUAAAGUUUUUCAUACAAAAACCAUGAUCUACGGAGAUCUAACCGUUCAAACUCAAAUCCGUCCUCGGUAAAGUGAUCUAUGAAGUCCAAUCUAUGUUUUCACCGAUCGUUUUGAGGUAAUGGGUUACUUGGAACUUGCUUGAGGCUACCCAAACCAUGGGUUUUGGUUUGGUGAAAUUUUGUGAUACAUUGCAAGGUGGUGUCUAGGAGACCUAGUGCUUAAUAUCCGCCCAGCCAAGGGAUUCCAAUAUUCAGAGUUUGCAAGUCAGAAGAAAUUCAAGUUCCCUAUCAGCCGUCUGGACGAUCGAGCCAUCUCGUCCGGACGUCCAUCUGUCAACUGUUCCAUCCGUCCGGACGACAUGUCAUCCCGUCCGGACGCUAGACAGACCAGUAUCAUCCGUCUGGAUGAAGUGUUCAUUCCGUCCAGACCCCAUACUGUAUCGAGAAGUUUCUGUGCCAGCUUGCAUCCGUCCGGACGUUUUAGCAGCAUCUCCGAACGCCUCCCAGUACUCAAUCAGUUUCUGAAUUCUUUCCAAGUUCCAAGAAAAGGAAGAUCAGUCAACCGUCCAGACGAUGUGAUAUCCCGUUCGGACGCGCGUCUCCGUAAGGCAAGAAUCGCAAUUCAAAUAUGACCGUCCGGACGUCUGACAAUUAUGGUCCAGACGAGAGUGCAUCAAAGAAGGAAAUUGGCGAUUCAACUUCAACUGUCCGGACGAUAGCCUAUCAUGGUCCGGACGCACACAUUACCGAAAUGGAAAUUGCGUGUUGAAGAAUAGCCGUCCGGACGCUCAUCCCCCAUGGUCCUGACGCUCGAGAGCCUUAUAAGGAAAUUACUUGCAGCGGAUGUGCGACCGUCCGGACGAUGUGCCAUUCCGUCCGGACGAUGUCCUUAAACAGGAAAGAUUUCUUCGCGGAAAUUUCGAAAAAUCUGUUCGCACAGUUGUCUGUCCGGACGGCCCAUGUCCACUGUCCGGACGGUGCCCAGGUAUAUUUUGCCUGACACUCAUUUGAGCCCCCAGUCUAUAAAUAAAGGCCCUUGGGCACUGAGAACUGUAAGAAUUCGGUGUGAAUUCCAUUAGAGCUCAGAGAAGUCAUCAAUCCCUCUGAAGCCGUUUUACAAGUGUGCUGUGCUGUGCUGUAAACCAAAGUCUAUCUUAGAGGUCGGCUCUAAGGUAAGGAGUUCCAUUGAAGACCCCAUCAGGUAGGUGAACCUGGUUGGGAAUUGUUCGUGUUGGGUUACACGUCAGAGAUCAAGGUACGACCACUGCAUCGGUACAUGUGAGUGUUACUGUCUUGUAUCUAGCUAUGUCUUCUGAAUAGUAGAAUUCCAGGGUUUGGCUGC